UACAAAGUUUGGGCAAAGUUCAUUAGAGGGAGCAAAAAUGAUCCUGUGGCUAAACUUAGUGUCCUUACUAGCAGUCUUGAGAGGUGCCAAAUCUCAGAUCCAAUUGGUGGAGUCUGGGGGGGAUGUGCGAAGACCUGGAGAGUCCCUCCGUCUCUCCUGCCAAGCCUCUGGAUUCACCUUCAGCAGCUAUGGCAUGCACUGGGUGAGACAGGCUCCAGGGAAAGGCCUGGAUUGGGUAGCCUACAUAAGCUCCAAUUCUGGUACUAUUAACUACUCAGACAAAGUCAAGGGCCGCUUCACCAUCUCCAGGGACAAUGCCAAAAGCCAGCUGUAUCUGCAAAUGAACAGCCUCAAGAUUGAAGACACAGGAGUCUAUUACUGUGCUAGGCACACAGUGAGAGGAAGUGAAUCUGAUGCUAAGCAAAAACCUUCUCACCCUUUGAGCAGCUUUCCAAAAUAA